rnacentral:rRNA from 1 species
GACGAACGCUGGCGGCGUGCCUAAUACAUGCAAGUUGAGCGAUGAAGAUUGGUGCUUGCACCAAUUUGAAGAGCAGCGAACGGGUGAGUAACGCGUGGGUAAUCUGCCUUUGAGCGGGGGACAACAUUUGGAAACGAAUGCUAAUACCGCAUAACAACUUUAAACAUAAGUUUUAAGUUUGAAAGAUGCAAUUGCAUCACUCAAAGAUGAUCCCGCGUUUUAUUAGCUGGUUGGUGAGGUAAAGGCUCACCAAGGCGAUGAUACAUAGCCGACCUGAGAGGGUGAUCGGCCAAAAUGGGAAUGAGAAAAGGCCCAAACUCCUACGGGAGGCAGCAGUAGGGAAUCAUCGGCAAUGGAAGAAAGUCUGAACGAGCAAAGCCGCGUGAGUGAAGAAGGUUUUCGGAUCGUAAAACUCUGUUGGUAGAGAAGAACGUUGGGGAGAGUGGAAAGCUCAUCAAGUGACGGUAACUAACCAGAAAGGGACGGCUAACUACGUG